AUACGGAGGGUGCAAGCGUUACUCGGAAUCACUGGGCGUAAAGCGCGCGCAGGCGGCUAUUUAAGUUGGAUGUGAAAGCCUACUGCUCAACCGUAGAACUGCAUCCAAAACUAUUUAGCUAGAGUGUGGGAGAGGAAGAUGGAAUUAGUUGUGUAGGGGUAAAAUCCGUAGAGAUAACUAGGAAUACCAAAAGCGAAGGCAAUCUUCUGGAACACUACUGACGCUGAGGCGCGAAAGCGUGGGGAGCAAACAGGAUUAGAUACCCUAGUAGUCC
rnacentral:rRNA from 1 species